rnacentral:misc_RNA from 1 species
GAUGAAGAACGUAGCGAAAUGCGAUAAGUAAUGCGAAUUGCAGAAUUUCCGUGAGUCAUCGAAUCUUUGAACGCACAUUGCGCCCUUUGGUAUUCCGAAGGGCAUGCCUGUUCGAGCGUCAUUUCAACCAUCAAGCCCCCGGCUUGUGUUGGGGACCUGCGGCUGCCGCAGGCCCUGAAAAGCAGUGGCGGGCUCGCCGUCACACCGAGCGUAGUAGCAUACAUCUCGCUCUGGGCGUGCUGCGGGUUCCGGCCGUUAAACCACCUUCAUAACCCAAGGUUGACCUCGGAUCAGGUAGGAAGACCCGCUGAACUUAAGCAUAUCAAUAAGCGGAGGA